rnacentral:lncRNA from 1 species
AUUUUCCGAGUGACUGGCCGGAACUUGCGAUCGCCGGUAAGGGCGCGUCCGACGUCGGAAUUGGAUGAUUUUUUAGUCGAAGGUUCGCCUUUUCAUGGGUAAUCUGAUGGUCUGGCGCGUGUCCCUGUUUGAGCUCUGUGGAAGGGUUAAUUGAAAAAUUAGUUUUCGGCACCUCGGGAUUCGAUAUGUCAAUUUCGGGCGAUUUGGACGAAAUCUCUACCACCCCCAGGGUUUUCGGCCCCUCUGGAAUCAUUGGUGAUGGUCCCAUAUCCAAAUUCUGAUCAGAAGUGGGUGUUUCGACGACCUUGGGAUUCGUGCCAUGAUUUUUCAAACUCAGAUCUAUUGAGUUGGGGGAUGAAUCUGAUAUUGGUGUUAUAGGAGAUGUUUGGGUGGUUGUUGGUGAUGAUUUUCCACCACUUAGAGUGCUGCAAUCC